GUAACAGUUCUGAGACCAGUGUGUCCAAUAUCUCAGGAUUGGACCUCUUGCCAUACCUUGGGAGACCAAGAAACCGGAAUGAGACGGAAUCAAGCAAGGAUUAUAGAUCGAAGCUUCAGUAAAACAGACCAACGCAGCAUGUGCAGAUUAUUGCAUCCCCGCAGGAUAUCAUGACUCCUUGCCUGCUCCUCAAACGAUAAGUGAACUUAACCCUUGCUGCCCGGAGAAGCAAAUUAUCAACACAUCCACACAAAUUCAAGAUGUGUGGGGGGGGGGGGAGAAAAAUAAAAGCCUACUCACGCAAUCCACUAGCUUCCAAAGCAAUGUAACCAUCCACCAAGGAGCUGAAGUCGGUCAGUCCGCCCAUUGCAGCAUAAGGGACAUCUCCUCCCACGGGGCGACCUCGUGCCACCCUCUCGGACUUUGUCUCAACCUGACAGGGUCUGGUGAUUAUAGGUGGGCUGGCCACAUCCACAUGUGUACGGACUCCUGAACUCAGAACAGUCACCUGAAAAGGAAAUGUUUUGUGAUGUGUCUACACAAGUCUGU